GUAUACUUUGUAUACGUGGUAGGGGAGCGUUCUGUAAGCCGAUGAAGGUGUGUUGAGAAGCAUGCUGGAGGUAUCAGAAGUGCGAAUGCUGACGUGAGUAACGACAAAACGGGUGAAAAACCCGUUCGCCGAAAGACCAAGGGUUCCAGUCCAACGUUAAUCGGGGCUGGGUGAGUCGACCCCUAAGGCGAGGCCGAAAGGCGUAGUCGAUGGGAAAAUGGUUAAUAUUCCAUUACUUCUGUGUAAUGCGAUGAGAGGACGGAGAAGGCUAAAUCAGCCUGGCGUUGGUUGUCCAGGUGAAAGGAUGUAGGCAUGUAUCUUAGGCAAAUCCGGGGUACUCUAUGCUGAGAUCUGAUAGCAAGCUGUACUUGUACAGCGAAGUGGUUGAUGCCAUGCUUCCAGGAAAAGUCUCUAAGCUUCAGUUACACAGGAAUCGUACCCGAAACCGACACAGGUGGUCAGGUCGAGUAGACCAAGGCGCUUGAGAGAACUCUGCUGAAGGAACUAGGCAAAAUGGUACCGUAACUUCGGGAGAAGGUACGCUGUUGUUGGUGAUGGAACUCGCUUCCUGAGCUGACGACAGCCGCAGAAACCAGGCCGCUGCAACUGUUUAUUAAAAACAUAGCACUCUGCAAACACGAAAGUGGACGUAUAGGGUGUGAUGCCUGCCCGGUGCUGGAAGGUUAAUUGAUGGGGUUAGCGUAAGCGAAGCUCUUGAUCGAAGCCCCAGUAAACGGCGGCCGUAACUAUAACGGUCCUAAGGUAGCGAAAUUCCUUGUCGGGUAAGUUCCGACCUGCACGAAUGGCAUAAUGAUGGCGGCGCUGUCUCCAGCAGAGGCUCAGUGAAAUCGAAAUCGCUGUGAAGAUGCAGUGUACCCGCGGCUAGACGGAAAGACCCCGUGAACCUUUACUGCAGCUUGACACUGAACUUUGACCUUACUUGUGUAGGAUAGGUGGGAGGCUUUGAAGCUGGAACGCUAGUUCCAGUGGAGCCGUCCUUGAAAUACCACCCUGGUAAUGUUGAGGUUCUAACUCUGUCCCGUGAUCCGGGACGAGGACCGUGUCUGGUGGGUAGUUUGACUGGGGCGGUCUCCUCCUAAAGAGUAACGGAGGAGUACGAAGGUGCGCUCAGCGUGGUCGGAAAUCACGCGUAGAGUAUAAAGGCAAAAGCGCGCUUAACUGCGAGACCCACAAGUCGAGCAGGUACGAAAGUAGGUCUUAGUGAUCCGGUGGUUCUGUAUGGAAGGGCCAUCGCUCAACGGAUAAAAGGUACUCUGGGGAUAACAGGCUGAUACCGCCCAAGAGUUCAUAUCGACGGCGGUGUUUGGCACCUCGAUGUCGGCUCAUCUCAUCCUGGGGCUGAAGCAGGUCCCAAGGGUAUGGCUGUUCGCCAUUUAAAGAGGUACGCGAGCUGGGUUUAGAACGUCGUGAGACAGUUCGGUCCCUAUCUACCGUGGGCGCUGGAAAUUUGAGAGGAUCUGCUCCUAGUACGAGAGGACCAGAGUGGACGAACCUCUGGUGUACCGGUUGUGACGCCAGUCGCAUCGCCGGGUAGCUAUGUUCGGAAGGGAUAACCGCUGAAAGCAUCUAAGCGGGAAGCCUACCUCAAGAUAAGAUUUCCCUAGGACUUUAUGUCCUCUAAAGAGCCGUUCGAGACUAGGACGUUGAUAGGUUGGAUGUGGAAGCAUAGUGAUAUGUGAAGCUGACCAAUACUAAUUGCUCGUGAGGCUUGACUAUACAACACCCA
rnacentral:rRNA from 4 species